GCUUUUGGAAGGAUAAACUUUUAUUUCAAGGGAAAAUGCUGGACUCAGUUCUGCUCUCAUCUUAGAUCUGAAGGGAGUUGGCCAGGUCUCCUCUUCUUGAGGGUACAUGACUAAGAGAGAUGGGAGGGGGCCCACAGCACAGAGACCUGUUGCCAAGAACAUCUCAGGGUGGAGAGACCUUUGGAACAUUUUUUUCCACUCUACAUCAGACAGAAUAAAAUUGAUUAGCAUUUAAUUGGUUUCAGCUGUUCUUAACAUGUUGCAUAGAAAACGUCAAUGUACUUUGCUAAAUUCAAUAUUCCUUAUGGUUAACAGAUUGAAAACCAAAAACGUCCUUGAAGAAAACACCAGAAAUCAGUGCUUUAGAUCACACUGAGUUGUUUGCUAUUGGUCACCCACUUGGAAUGUUCUGGGAACGCUAACUACUUUGGAUUGGAUAUAUUCAGAAAAGAAACAAAUCUUUGUCUGAUCAGAUGUAUUUGGAGAAAACAAAAAACCCACAACCCAAAGGAUGGGAUUUCACAUCUCAAGACAUCUCCCAGGUAAUAAGUCUACAGAUUACAAAUCAUUUUCAUAGAAAAUAUUUUUGUACAAAUUAUACAGGUAUUCAGGAGCUGGGUCAUUAAUCAAUCCCCAUUUCUAUUUUAACAGGGGGGCAAGGUAGGGGAGAGGGAAAAACAGUUUUGGAUACAACUAUUUGGAAGGAGAGUAGAUAUGAAGAGGGCAAACCCUAGUUUUUCAUUACCUACAAUCAAUGUUUUUUUUCUUUAAAAAAAAAUCUUUCAAUCUUCAGUAUCUCUUUAAAAGCCCACUUCUUACCUACUAGCCAAUCCACCCCAAUUAUUUAAAUUCACUUGGUACACACCUUUGUCCACCAGGUAAAUUAUAUUCAUUAUGCCCACUGCUGCAGCACACAUAAACCAACACCCCUGCAUGGCUGAACAGGGCCUAAUCUAGGACUGAUGGGAGAAGUGCUUGCAAACCAAGAUCAAGGUGUCAUUUCUCUGCUAAUACUGUCUACCAAGCUGAUCCCUACAAAAACGCACAUAAAAGCAGGCAAGUUUAGCUACUGUGUUGCAAGAGAAACCAGGACCUUGUUAAAUAGUUCUCUCCAUUACCAUUUAUUCUCUCAAGGGAAGCUUAAAAAAAAAAAA
rnacentral:lncRNA from 1 species